GGUCUGAGAGGAUGAUCAGCCACACUGGGACUGAGACACGGCCCAGACUCCUACGGGAGGCAGCAGUGGGGAAUAUUGGACAAUGGGCGAAAGCCUGAUCCAGCAAUGCCGCGUGAGUGAUGAAGGCCUUAGGGUUGUAAAGCUCUUUUACCCGGGAAGAUAAUGACUGUACCGGGAGAAUAAGCCCCGGCUAACUCCGUGCCAGCAGCCGCGGUAAUACGGAGGGGGCUAGCGUUGUUCGGAAUUACUGGGCGUAAAGCGCACGUAGGCGGCUUUGUAAGUCAGAGGUGAAAGCCUGGAGCUCAACUCCAGAACUGCCUUUGAGACUGCAUCGGUUGAAUCCAGGAGAGGUGA
rnacentral:rRNA from 1 species